rnacentral:misc_RNA from 1 species
GAUGAAGAACGUAGCGAAAUGCGAUAAGUAAUGUGAAUUGCAGAAUUCAGUGAAUCAUCGAAUCUUUGAACGCACCUUGCGCUCCUUGGUAUUCCGAGGAGCAUGCCUGUUUGAGUGUCAUUAAUAUAUCAACCUCUUCAGCUUAUGCUUGUUGAGUGUUGGAUGGUGGGGGUUUGCUGGUGUCUUAUGAAGUCAGCUCCUCUGAAAUGCAUUAGCGGAACAAUUUGUUGACCGUUCAUUGGUGUGAUAAAAAUAUCUACGCUAUUGACGUCAGUCAGUUCAGCUUCUAACAGUCCAUUGACUUGGACAAAUUUUUCAUUAAUGCGACCUCAAAUCAGGUAGGACUACCCGCUGAACUUAAGCAUAUCAAUAAGCGGAGGA